rnacentral:rRNA from 1 species
GAUGAACGCUGGCGGCGUGCCUAAUACAUGCCAGUCGAGCGAACAGACGAGGAGCUUGCUCCUCUGACGUUAGCGGCGGACGGGUGAGUAACACGUGGAUAACCUACCUAUAAGACUGGGAUAACUUCGGGAAACCGGAGCUAAUACCGGAUAAUAUAUUUAACCGCAUGGUUCAAUAGUGAAAGACGGGUUUGCUGUCAAUUAUAGAUGGAUCCGCGCCGCAUUAGCUAGUUGGUAAGGUAACGGCUUACCAAGGCGACGAUGCGUAGCCGACCUGAGAGGGUGAUCGGCCACACUGGAACUGAGACACGGUCCAGACUCCUACGGGAGGCAGCAGUAGGGAAUCUUCCGCAAUGGGCGAAAGCCUGACGGAGCAACGCCGCGUGAGUGAUGAAGGUCUUCGGAUCGUAAAACUCUGUUAUUAGGGAAGAACAAAUGUGUAAGUAACUAUGCACGUCUUGACGGUACCUAAUCAGAAAGCCACGGCUAACUACGUG